rnacentral:rRNA from 1 species
GAUGAACGCUGGCGGCGUGCCUAACACAUGCAAGUCGAGCGAUUUACUUCGGUAAAGAGCGGCGGACGGGUGAGUAACGCGUGGGUAAUCUGCCCUGUACACACGGAUAACAUACCGAAAGGUAUGCUAAUACGAGAUAAUAUACUUUUAUCGCAUGGUAGAAGUAUCAAAGCUCCGGCGGUACAGGAUGGACCCGCGUCUGAUUAGCUAGUUGGUAAGGUAACGGCUUACCAAGGCGACGAUCAGUAGCCGACCUGAGAGGGUGAUCGGCCACAUUGGAACUGAGACACGGUCCAAACUCCUACGGGAGGCAGCAGUGGGGAAUAUUGCACAAUGGGCGAAAGCCUGAUGCAGCAACGCCGCGUGAGCGAUGAAGGCCUUCGGGUCGUAAAGCUCUGUCCUCAAGGAAGAUAAUGACGGUACUUGAGGAGGAAGCCCCGGCUAACUACGUGCCAGCCGCCGCCGUAA